CGCCGCCUCAGCCUCGGCCGGGCCGUGCUCUGCCGUCGCCCGUCGGCCUUGAUCCGGCCUCGCAGGAGGAGCUCGCCCUCGAGGAGGACUCGACAGGAGGAGGGGAGCAGUGCCUCUUCUCCUCCCAUUCGCUUCUCUCCUCCCCACGUUCUAGAUCGGGCACAAGUCACCACCAUACAAGAGCAUGGGUUGCAUGAUCUUCAUGGUGGGCGUGGUGGAGCAAGGAGGGAGGAGGAUAGCGAUGGGGGAAGGAGAAGCAAGGUUGGAGCUCUGAGUGGAUGAGUGGUCGUCCGUUGCGCGCCGGCCGUCAUCCCCGUCCCCAAUCUGGGCUGCCUAUCGUGAGUGCUUGAUGUUACCUCCAUCAGCUGAUGAGGCGAGGCUGCUGCUGCUGAAAAAUGGUGCUGCUACCGGAGGCAGUGGAGAGGCAUUCCGUGGACCAACUAUGGUGUGGUUCAGAUAGUCCAAGGAGUGGAAACUAUAACCUUGUCAAAUUCUACACAUAGCCAUUAUGACGACACAUUUAUGCGAUAGAUUGUCAAUAUUUAAGUUGAUACACUAAAGACGGAGAUGUGGAAAGCUUGCCACGGAGGCACACAGGCUUGCUGAUUCUGUUUUGGAUUUGUCCUUGAGGGGAGGCCGAAGCAAACUUCAACAGGCAUCAGUAAUUUCUCGCCGAAACACUGGUCCAAAUUUAUGAUUGGUUUCGCUGGCGCUGCAUUAAAAUCCAUGCUUCCAGCGUAUGUAGACGCCUCUGGCGCCGAACUGAAGAGACGAGGAAGAAAGGGGAUACACAAGCUCGCUGGAUCCACUCGCUGCCGCUUCAUAUUCAGCUCUUCACGGGCCACGACUGUCGCUAUUCAUGGGCCGGGCUAAAUAACAUAUGGGCCAUUGAAAUACUUAUCUCCAUAUACGCAGAACAGAAAGAUAAAAAAUCUCACAAUGGAAGACAUGGACAUUGGCAUCGUCUGUGACGACGGUUCCCCAGGAUCAGCAGCAUCAAGGACAGCGACGCCUGCGCCCAAUGUAAUCUUCUAAUCACCAGUUGUAGUUCAUUCAUUGGUCUUUAUAAACUUGGCUUUCAGUUUUGCUCCAUCGCCGGCUUAUUUGCCUUGCUUCUGUAUUCUUGGAAGAGUGAAUAAAAGAUACAUGCAUAAUGAAAUAUAGGUAGCUAGGUUUGUGGAAAUUGGUCUUCCAGAACUCAUCCUGAUUGUUUUGAAUGAGGUGAAGUUGUAGUAAUCAUAUUUAUUUCCUGGACAAU